GGAGGGCAAGUCUGGUGCCAGCAGCCGCGGUAAUUCCAGCUCCAAUAGCGUAUACUAAAGUUGUUGCGGUUAAAAAGCUCGUAGUUGGAUCUAUGAAUGUGAACGCGAGGUCGCCUUAUUGAGUGAACUUUGUGGCGCAUUCUUCCCUUUGGUCGGUGUGUUCGUGCUCUUAAUUGAGUGCGACAUGCUACCAGAAAUUUUACCUUGAAAAAAUUAGAGUGUUCAAAGCAGACCUUUUUGUGUCUGAAUAUUCGUGCAUGGAAUAAUAAAAUAUGAAUUCGGUUCUAUUUUAUUGGUUUUCGGAACUCGAGUUAAUGAUUAAGAGGGACAGACGGGGGCAUCCGUACUCUGCCGUUAGAGGUGAAAUUCUUGGAUCGGCGGAAGACGCGCAACUGCGAAAGCAUUUGCCAAGAAUGUUUUCUUUAAUCAAGAACGAUAGUCGGAGGUUCGAAGACGAUCAGAUACCGUCCUAGUUUCGACUGUAAACUAUGCCAGCUAACGAUCAGACAGCGUUCUCUACGACUUGUCUGGCAGUUUCCGGGAAACCAAAGCUUUUGGGUUCCGGGGGAAGUAUGGUUGCAAAGCUGAAACUUAAAGGAAUUGACGGAAGGGCACCACCAGGAGUGGAGCCUGCGGCUUAAUUUGACUCAACACGGGGAAACUCACCCGGCCCGGACACAGUGAGGAUUGACAGAUUGAGAGUUCUUUCUUGAUUCUGUGGGUGGUGGUGCAUGGCCGUUCUUAGUUGGUGGAGCGAUUUGUCUGGUUAAUUCCGAUAACGAACGAGACUCUGGCAUGUUAAAUAGUCGCGGGAGUAAUUUUAACUCACCAUGAGACUUCUUAGAGGGACAAGUGAUUCUAAUCACACGAGAUUGAGCAAUAACAGGUCUGUGAUGCCCUUAGAUGUUCGGGGCCGCACGCGCGCUACAAUGAGUCGAUCAACGAGCGUAUAUUAUUAUCCAAGUCCGAAAGGUCGAGGUAAUCCGUUGAACCCGACUCGUGCUAGGGAUAGGGAAUUGUAAUUGUUUCCCUUGAACGAGGAAUUCCCAGUAAGCGCAAGUCAUCAGCUUGCGUUGAUUACGUCCCUGCCCUUUGUACACACCGCCCGUC
rnacentral:rRNA from 1 species